rnacentral:tRNA from 1 species
GGGCUCAUAGCUCAGCUGGAUAGAGCAACGGCCUUCUAAGCCGUGUGUCCGGAGUUCGAAUCUCCGUGGGCUCA